UACGUAGGGCGCAAGCGUUUGUCCGGAAUUAUUGGGCGUAAAGAGCUCGUAGGCGGUUUGUCGCGUCUGCUGUGAAAACCUAAGGCUCAACCUUGGGCUUGCAGUGGGUACGGGCAGACUAGAGUGCGGUAGGGGUGACUGGAAUUCCUGGUGUAGCGGUGGAAUGCGCAGAUAUCAGGAGGAACACCGAUGGCGAAGGCAGGUCACUGGGCCGCAACUGACGCUGAGGAGCGAAAGCGUGGGGAGCGAACAGG
rnacentral:rRNA from 1 species